GGGUCUGUAGCUCAGUGGUUAGAGCAGAACACUCAUAAUGUUUUGGUCGUCGGUUCAAUCCCGACCAGACCCACCA
rnacentral:tRNA from 1 species